AGCAGUGUAGCGUAGUGGUUAAGGCGCGGGACUCGUACUCAAAAGGUUGCCAGUUCGAUUCCCCACUGUGG